GUGAAUUAAACAUGCUUGGUGUCUUCGCUUCGGCAAGGCCCUUGCUUAAAUCACAUCCUAACACCUGUGAACUGUAAGACGUAUGAUGAGGAUCUUUGGCCAAGUCAUCGUCUGCCCAUUUUUAACAAACAAUUAAUGUAACAAACGUAGUCUUAUUAUAACCUAAUA
rnacentral:misc_RNA from 1 species